AGGGCGCACGGUGGAUGCCUUGGCACUAGAAGCCGAUGAAGGACGUUACUAACGACGAUAUGCUUUGGGGAGCUGUAAGUAAGCUUUGAUCCAGAGAUUUCCGAAUGGGGAAACCCAGCAUGAGUUAUGUCAUGUUAUCGAUAUGUGAAUACAUAGCAUAUCAGAAGGCACACCCGGAGAACUGAAACAUCUUAGUACCCGGAGGAAGAGAAAGAAAAUUCGAUUCCCUUAGUAGCGGCGAGCGAAACGGGAAGAGCCCAAACCAACAAGCUUGCUUGUUGGGGUUGUAGGACACUCUAUACGGAGUUACAAAGGACGACAUUAGACGAAUCAUCUGGAAAGAUGAAUCAAAGAAGGUAAUAAUCCUGUAGUCGAAAAUGUUGUCUCUCUUGAGUGGAUCCUGAGUACGACGGAGCACGUGAAAUUCCGUCGGAAUCUGGGAGGACCAUCUCCUAAGGCUAAAUACUCUCUAGUGACCGAUAGUGAACCAGUACCGUGAGGGAAAGGUGAAAAGCACCCCGGAAGGGGAGUGAAAUAGAACCUGAAACCGUGUGCUUACAAGUAGUCAGAGCCCGUUAAUGGGUGAUGGCGUGCCUUUUGUAGAAUGAACCGGCGAGUUACGAUUUGAUGCAAGGUUAAGCAGUAAAUGUGGAGCCGUAGCGAAAGCGAGUCUGAAUAGGGCGUUUAGUAUUUGGUCGUAGACCCGAAACCAGGUGAUCUACCCUUGGUCAGGUUGAAGUUCAGGUAACACUGAAUGGAGGACCGAACCGACUUACGUUGAAAAGUGAGCGGAUGAACUGAGGGUAGCGGAGAAAUUCCAAUCGAACCUGGAGAUAGCUGGUUCUCUCCGAAAUAGCUUUAGGGCUAGCCUCAAGUGAUGAUUAUUGGAGGUAGAGCACUGUUUGGACGAGGGGCCCCUCUCGGGUUACCGAAUUCAGACAAACUCCGAAUGCCAAUUAAUUUAACUUGGGAGUCAGAACAUGGGUGAUAAGGUCCGUGUUCGAAAGGGAAACAGCCCAGACCACCAGCUAAGGUCCCAAAAUAUAUGUUAAGUGGAAAAGGAUGUGGCGUUGCCCAGACAACUAGGAUGUUGGCUUAGAAGCAGCCAUCAUUUAAAGAGUGCGUAAUAGCUCACUAGUCGAGUGACACUGCGCCGAAAAUGUACCGGGGCUAAACAUAUUACCGAAGCUGUGGAUUGUCCUUUGGACAAUGGUAGGAGAGCGUUCUAAGGGCGUUGAAGCAUGAUCGUAAGGACAUGUGGAGCGCUUAGAAGUGAGAAUGCCGGUGUGAGUAGCGAAAGACGGGUGAGAAUCCCGUCCACCGAUUGACUAAGGUUUCCAGAGGAAGGCUCGUCCGCUCUGGGUUAGUCGGGUCCUAAGCUGAGGCCGACAGGCGUAGGCGAUGGAUAACAGGUUGAUAUUCCUGUACCACCUAUAAUCGUUUUAAUCGAUGGGGGGACGCAGUAGGAUAGGCGAAGCGUGCGAUUGGAUUGCACGUCUAAGCAGUAAGGCUGAGUAUUAGGCAAAUCCGGUACUCGUUAAGGCUGAGCUGUGAUGGGGAGAAGACAUUGAGUCUUCGAGUCGUUGAUUUCACACUGCCGAGAAAAGCCUCUAGAUAGAAAAUAGGUGCCCGUACCGCAAACCGACACAGGUAGUCAAGAUGAGAAUUCUAAGGUGAGCGAGCGAACUCUCGUUAAGGAACUCGGCAAAAUGACCCCGUAACUUCGGGAGAAGGGGUGCUCUUUAGGGUUAACGCCCAGAAGAGCCGCAGUGAAUAGGCCCAAGCGACUGUUUAUCAAAAACACAGGUCUCUGCUAAACCGUAAGGUGAUGUAUAGGGGCUGACGCCUGCCCGGUGCUGGAAGGUUAAGAGGAGUGGUUAGCUUCUGCGAAGCUACGAAUCGAAGCCCCAGUAAACGGCGGCCGUAACUAUAACGGUCCUAAGGUAGCGAAAUUCCUUGUCGGGUAAGUUCCGACCCGCACGAAAGGCGUAACGAUUUGGGCACUGUCUCAACGAGAGACUCGGUGAAAUCAUAGUACCUGUGAAGAUGCAGGUUACCCGCGACAGGACGGAAAGACCCCGUGGAGCUUUACUGUAGCCUGAUAUUGAAAUUCGGCACAGCUUGUACAGGAUAGGUAGGAGCCUUUGAAACGUGAGCGCUAGCUUACGUGGAGGCGCUGGUGGGAUACUACCCUAGCUGUGUUGGCUUUCUAACCCGCACCACUUAUCGUGGUGGGAGACAGUGUCAGGCGGGCAGUUUGACUGGGGCGGUCGCCUCCUAAAAGGUAACGGAGGCGCUCAAAGGUUCCCUCAGAAUGGUUGGAAAUCAUUCAUAGAGUGUAAAGGCAUAAGGGAGCUUGACUGCGAGACCUACAAGUCGAGCAGGGUCGAAAGACGGACUUAGUGAUCCGGUGGUUCCGCAUGGAAGGGCCAUCGCUCAACGGAUAAAAGCUACCCCGGGGAUAACAGGCUUAUCUCCCCCAAGAGUUCACAUCGACGGGGAGGUUUGGCACCUCGAUGUCGGCUCAUCGCAUCCUGGGGCUGUAGUCGGUCCCAAGGGUUGGGCUGUUCGCCCAUUAAAGCGGUACGCGAGCUGGGUUCAGAACGUCGUGAGACAGUUCGGUCCCUAUCCGUCGUGGGCGUAGGAAAUUUGAGAGGAGCUGUCCUUAGUACGAGAGGACCGGGAUGGACAUACCUCUGGUGUACCAGUUGUCGUGCCAACGGCAUAGCUGGGUAGCUAUGUGUGGACGGGAUAAGUGCUGAAAGCAUCUAAGCAUGAAGCCCCCCUCAAGAUGAGAUUUCCCAACUUCGGUUAUAAGAUCCCUCAAAGAUGAUGAGGUUAAUAGGUUCGAGGUGGAAGCAUGGUGACAUGUGGAGCUGACGAAUACUAAUCGAUCGAAGACUUAAUC
rnacentral:rRNA from 1 species